UUAGCAUGUUGAAACACCGAUUCUCGUACGAUCACCAAAGUUAAGCAACGUCGAACCUCGUCGGUAUCUAGAAGGGUGACCACUUGCGAAGACCAGGUGCCGUGA